GUCCCAGGCUCGGGAUACUCAAGUGUUCAUUCAGUGAUCAGGACAGAAUACAGACAACUCACCAUGGAAUUUGUGCUUGGCUGGGUUUUCCUUGUUGCUCUUUUAAAAGGUGUCCAGAGUGAGGUGCAGCUGGUGGAGUCUGGGGGAGACCUUGUGAAGCCUGGAGGGUCCCUGAGACUCUCUUGUGCAGUCUCUGGAUUCACCUUCAGUAGCUAUGGCAUGAGCUGGGUCCGCCAGGCUGCGGGGAAGGGGCUGCAGUGGGUCGCAAGUAUUGGCAGUAGUAGUACUUACACAUACUAUGCAGACUCUGUGAAAGGCCGAUUCACCAUCUCCAGAGACAAUGGCAAGAACACGCUGUAUCUGCAGAUGAACAGCCUGAGAGCCGAGGACACAGCCGUGUAUUAUUGAGCACAGAACAGAUCAUGGGGUCGCUCUUACCCUGUAC